rnacentral:rRNA from 1 species
AGCUUGCUAAAUGGACUCAUGGCGGACGGGUGAGUAACGCGUAAAGAACUUGCCCUUUAGACUGGGAUAACAGAGGGAAACUUCUGAUAAUACUGGAUAAGUUAGUAUAUCGCAUGAUAUGCAAAUGAAAGCUACGGCACUAAAGGAGAGCUUUGCGUCCUAUUAGCUAGUUGGUAAGGUAAGAGCUUACCAAGGCGAUGAUAGGUAGCCGGCCUGAGAGGGUGGACGGCCACAAGGGGACUGAGAUACGGCCCUUACUCCUACGGGAGGCAGCAGUGGGGAAUAUUGGACAAUGGAGGGAACUCUGAUCCAGCAAUUCUGUGUGUGUGAAGAAGGUUUUAGGACUGUAAAACACUUUUAGUAGGGAAGAAAAAAAUGACGGUACCUACAGAAGAAGCAACGGCUAAAUACGUGCCAGCAGCCGCGGUAAUACGUAUGUUGCGAGCGUUAUCCGGAAUUAUUGGGCUUAAAGGGCAUCUAGGCGGUAAGACAAGUUGAAGGUGAAAACCUGUGGCUCAACCAUAGGCUUGCCUACAAAACUGUUGAACUAGAGUACUGGAAAGGUGGGUGGAACUACACGAGUAGAGGUGAAAUUCGUAGAUAUGUGUAGGAAUGCCGAUGAUGAAGAUAACUCACUGGACAGAAACUGACGCUGAAGUGCGAAAGCUAGGGGAGCAAACAGGAUUAGAUACCCUGGUAGUCCUAGCUGUAAAC